rnacentral:lncRNA from 1 species
AUUGAGCCUGUGUUGAGGACAGUGACAGAAACAUAGAAGCUUAGUUCCGUGUCCUCAGAAGCAAGCUCAGCACCAUUCUAGGUGUGACAGAGGAUCGGUAACAUGCAGAAUGGGCUCCUGUGUACCAGCAGCUAUUUCCCAUUCCUCAGUUUCUCUGUCUGGAGAACACAAGGACAUUCUUCAUGGCCGGUGGCUCUUCGAGGCAUUUGCCCUGUUUGGUGUUCAUGACUUUGGAAAGGGCACCGUAAACAGAGAUUCAGGAACACUGAUGCUGG